AAGAUAAUACUUUAUUUAUAGUUUAAUGUUAUUUGCUUGUAAAUAUUUAAUUAGGAUAGAAGUUAGAAUCGAAUCCAUGUAACAAAGUAGCGAGCUGAAGCAUAUAGGUCGUGGAACAUUAUCGGGCAAUACAUCGUACAGUGAGUAGCUACACUUUGAGCAUGCAAAGAAGAUGUGGUCCAAGUUGCCCUCAUCAAGCCCACAAUCACACAAUGAGUUCGCACGAACACCUAUCAUAGCCAGAAAUAACGGAGUACAUACUUUGCCCAAACGUAAACGACAGAUGGUGGAUAUUACCCAUUUCGGAGACGUACGGAAUCGAUAGAACCACGGUUUUCGAGAUAUACGAGGUUGUAUACAGCCAUAAUGUCUACCUGUCACUAAUCUCGAGGUAUCCCAUUGUUCCUGCCAUGUAUUAAAUAGAUCCGACAGUGAACCACUCAGAAGGUCUGUACUGUAAAUAUCCUCUUUUAUUAAUCCAAUGUCAAUAGCUCGUUUUGCCCAUGUAUCAGCCAUCUCAUUGCCGCUAAUACCACAGUGGCUUGGAACCCAUCCGAGAACAAUAUUUAGGCCCCUUAAUUCACACCUACGCAGUACAGCUUUGAUUUCUAAAAUCAAAGGAAAUUUGGCUUUCAGUUUGAAUUGGUUGCCUACAAUAGCCUGUAGGCAGCUUCUACUAUCAGAGAAGAUAAUAGUUUUUUUAAUACUAUGGGUCUCUGCAUAUUUGGCAGCUUCAAGAAUAGCAACUGCUUCACCUGUGAAAAUCGACGCUUGAGGAGGACACCUAAAUGAGAGGACAAUAUUGUACCGAGGAAUCCACACUGCUGCUCCCACACAUCUUGCAGGAUCUACCUUUGAAGCGUCAGUAUAAACCGUGAGUUCCAGUGCAAGUGACCGCAAACGUGGAAGCAGCAAAUGGUUGUAGUAAGAACUGGCUUUGAUUAAAAAUCUAUCGGCAAGAUAUUGUCUGCGGAGAGACAAAGGAGGCUCAACACCUUCCACCUGCAUGGCGUUCUUGGGAGAAGAAUGCAUAGCUCCGAGUAUGAUCCUCAAACAUUUAGCUUGUAUGAGAUCUAAUUUACCUAGUCCAUCCUUAUUGCAAGGUUCCAUUAAAAAUGACCCAUAGUCUAUAUGACUGCGUAUGAUGGCAUUGUACAGUAGCUUCUGACAAUAUGGAUGUGAGCCCCACCAUACACCUGACAAUGCUCGCAGAAUAUUGAUAUUUUUUUCACACUUACCUAUUAUAUACUUGUGAUGUGAAAUGCCAGACAUUUUGUGAUCUAAAAUGACACCUAGGAAUUUUACUGACUCCUUACUUGGAAUCAUAACACCGCCAUAACGGACAUCUGCAGCAGGCAUGGUUCUUCUGCGACUGAACGUGACUACACAACUCUUCGUUGGCGAUAGAGUAAGACCAUGUUCAUCAAGCCAAUCUUUGAGGUAACCCAGAGCUGUGUUCAAACUAGCAGCGGCUUUAUCUAUUGACUUUGCUGAGGUGUAUAAGACCAGAUCAUCAGCAUACUGCAAGAUAUUACAGAAGGAUAAGACAGAUUGCUCCAAGUCGUAGGUGUAGAUACUGUAAAGCAGAGGGCUGAGUACAGAUCCUUGCGGGAGGCCCCGCCACAAAGUCCGAGGUGGAUGAUAAGAAUUACCAUUCCUAAUUUUAAUUGACCUACCCAUAAACAACUUGGUGACAAUAUGUACAAUCUUCGCGGGAAUGCUCAGAUGUAGCAUUUUUGCCCUGAGCACCGGAAGAAGGACAUUGUCGUAAGCCGCAGAGAUAUCUAGAAAACAUCCUAGCAGAUAUUCGUUUUUUGAAAAGAAAGAGCAAUCGGCCGAUAUGAGCUAGCCUCGUCUGGGUUUUUAGACGGUUUUAGGAUUGGAAUAAUUACUUGGGUCUUCCAGUCUCCUGGGAUCUCCCCCGUGUCAAAGGCAUGGUUUAGGAUACCAAGUAGAUAUUCCUGUGAUGAUGUAUUUAACUUGGACAAGAAACAAUAUGGUAUGCCAUCCUCUCCAGCGGUUCAGGGGAAGGAGAUGGAAGAAUAGAUGAAGGCUUAGUGAUAAUAAUAGGGAAAUGGUCACUGCCAAAUGACUGACGUAAUACCCUCCAGGAUAAUAAAGAAGAUAAACUAGGAGAACAAACAGAUAAAUCGAGAACUGAUUGGGGAUUCUGGCCUGGGUAUACCCGAUGCGUGGGAGUUCCAUCAUUAAUAACUCCUACAUUGAUGUCAUCGAACAGAUCCAGCAGGGCUGACGAAAACGAAUCUGAAUGGUAUGAUCCCCAGGAGAUAUUGUGACAG